AGCGUUACUCGGAAUUACUGGGCGUAAAGCGUGCGUAGGUGGUGAGUUAAGUCUGAUGUGAAAUCCCCGGGCUCAACCUGGGAAUGGCAAUGGAUACUGGCAGGCUAGAGUGCGGUAGAGGGUAGUGGAAUUCCCGGUGUAGCGGUGAAAUGCGUAGAGAUCGGGAGGAACACCAGUGGCGAAGGCGGCUACCUGGACCAGCACUGACACUGAGGCACGAAAGCGUGGGGAGCAAACAGG
rnacentral:rRNA from 1 species